rnacentral:rRNA from 1 species
CCUACGGGAGGCAGCAGUGAGGAAUAUUGGUCAAUGGGCGAGAGCCUGAACCAGCCAAGUCGCGUGAGGGAGUACUGCCCUAUGGGUUGUAAACCUCUUUUGUCGGGGAGCAAAAGCCGGACGUGUCCGGCUGUGAGAGUACCCGAAGAAAAAGCAUCGGCUAACUCCGUGCCAGCAGCCGCGGUAAUACGGAGGAUGCGAGCGUUAUCCGGAUUUAUUGGGGUUAAGGGGUGCGCAGGCGGAUUUUUAAGUCAGCGGUCAAAUCGUGGGGCUCAACCCCAUCCAGCCGUUGAAACUGGGGAUCUAGAGUGUGCGAGAGGUAGGCGGAAUGCGUGGUGUAGCGGUGAAAUGCAUAGAUAUCACGCAGAACCCCGAUUGCGAAGGCAGCAUACCGGUGCACAACUGACGCUCAGGCACGAAAGCGUGGGUAUCGAACAGGAUUAGAUACCCCAGUAGUC